GUGGGGAAUUUUGGACAAUGGGCGCAAGCCUGAUCCAGCAAUGCCGCGUGCAGGAAGAAGGCCUUCGGGUUGUAAACUGCUUUUGUACGGAACGAAAAGGCUCUGGUUAAUACCUGGGGCUCAUGACGGUACCGUAAGAAUAAGCACCGGCUAACUUCGUGCCAGCAGCCGCGGUAAUACGUAGGGUGCAAGCGUUAAUCGGAAUUACUGGGCGUAAAGCGUGCGCAGGCGGUUUUGUAAGACAGACGUGAAAUCCCCGGGCUCAACCUGGGAAUGGCGUUUGUGACUGCAGAGCUGGAGUGCGGCAGAGGGGGAUGGAAUUCCGCGUGUAGCAGUGAAAUGCGUAGAUAUGCGGAGGAACACCGAUGGCGAAGGCAAUCCCCUGGGCCUGCACUGACGCUCAUGCGCGAAAGCGUGGGGAGCAAACAGGAUUAGAAACCCCGGUAGUCC
rnacentral:rRNA from 1 species